CACACAUUCGCAUUCCCCAAGUCAGACCACGAUCACACAUUCGCAUUCCCGUGUCUGUUUAAUAAACACACCCCUGCCUCCAAACUGUAAACGCGAUCAAGUCCAGCACAUCCGCUCCUUCCUCAAUCCUUCCUUCUCAAGGAGAGCGCUUUCCGGCCACCACCACAUCCGUCCUUCUCUGCUUCUCCGAGCAGCCGGGCGUCGCCACCCCCCUUCCAGCUACUCCAUCCAAGCCGCAGUUCCGUCCCCGACCUGGACCUCAUCCCCCCGCGCUCCCUCGUGCUCCGCUCUGAUUUUGUUUCUAUAAUUUUCCAUCUCUCGCCGUCCUUUGCUUCCGCGAUCGCUCAUUGCCUUAAUUUCCUUCUUAAUCCAAUCUUGGGCUAAUGCAGUAUUUGGACGGGGCCAUUUGGAUUAGACGGGAUGAACAUGCCUUGCGGCCCAUUGAUUGAUGCAUCUACGGGCCUCUCGAGGAAGAACGGCCAGCGCGGCUCAGGAGGGAGGAAUAGCUCAGCGAUAGAAAAAGAAUCAGCGAACCGGUACAUGACAAUUGAUGUAUUAUAUUAUGCUCAAGAGUGCCCGUGCGUUGCACCGGGAGAAACAAAUACUCACCUCUCCUCUUGGUGAUCAUCGUUGAUGUUUGUCAUGUUUCUCCUAUUAAUGUCGAAUAUAUAUAAUCACUUAUAAGAGUUCA